rnacentral:rRNA from 2 species
UUAAGCAUAUCCAUAAGCGGAGGAAAAGAAACUAACAAGGAUUCCCCUAGUAACUGCGAGUGAAGCGGGAAAAGCUCAAAUUUAAAAUCUGGCAGUCUUUGGCUGUCCGAGUUGUAGUCUGGAGAAGUGCUUUCCGCGCUGGACCGUGUACAAGUCUCUUGGAACAGAGCGUCGUAGAGGGUGAGAAUCCCGUCUUUGACACGGACUACCAGUGCUUUGUGAUGCGCUCUCAAAGAGUCGAGUUGUUUGGGAAUGCAGCUCAAAAUGGGUGGUAAAUUCCAUCUAAAGCUAAAUAUUGGCGAGAGACCGAUAGCGAACAAGUACCGUGAGGGAAAGAUGAAAAGCACUUUGGAAAGAGAGUUAAACAGUACGUGAAAUUGCUGAAAGGGAAACGCUUGAAGUCAGUCGCGUUGGCCAGGACUCAGCCUGGCUUUUUUUAAUGCUUGGUGUAUUUUCUGGUUGACGGGCCAGCAUCGAUUUUGAUCACUGGACAAAGGCUGGGGGAAUGUGGCACCUUCGGGUGUGUUAUAGCCCUUGGUUGCAUACAGUGGUGGAGAUCGAGGACCGCAGCACGCCUUUAUGGCCGGGGUUCGCCCACGAUCGUGCUUAGGAUGCUGGCGUAAUGGCUUUAAACGACCCGUCUUGAAACACGGACCAAGGAGUCUAACAUGCCUGCGAGUGUUUGGGUGGUAAAACCCGAGCGCGCAAUGAAAGUAAAAGUUGAGAUCCCUGUCGUGGGGAGCAUCGACGCCCGGACCUGAACCUCGGUGAUGGAUCUGCGGUAGAGCAUGUAUGUUGGGACCCGAAAGAUGGUGAACUAUGCCUGAAUAGGGUGAAGCCAGAGGAAACUCUGGUGGAGGCUCGUAGCGAUUCUGACGUGCAAAUCGAUCGUCAAAUUUGGGUAUAGGGGCGAAAGACUAAUCGAACCAUCUAGUAGCUGGUUCCUGCC